rnacentral:lncRNA from 1 species
UGGUCGAACCCCAGCCCAAUAGCCCGUGAUUGUGUGCCAAAUGAACACGUACUUCAACCCGUACUUUUCUUUUGCAAUGUUGACUAUAUGCUUAAUUCCCACGUUCGGAUCAUCUUUGUUCUGAAAUUUUGAGUUUUCCUUGAUUCCUGUCAGCCUCAACAAGGGCACAUAAUAAGCGUUUUCAAGCUCUUUUUUGUCGUCGUCAAAUCCAACUGUUUGCCAACCAUCAUCAAUGAUGACGAACUUAGGAGGGGUUUGACUGGCACAGAGACUUUGUAGGCCGGCCUCAACCCCUUCCUGAGACACCUCCCGGUAAAAGGCAUCCCAAGUGCACCACCCAAAAUAAUCCAGAAUCCCAG